GUUGAGGUCUAGCCCAACGGGACUUUUUCUUUAAACCUACAGCAUUGGAAAUGCCUCAGAGAGUGUCUGUGUGGUCUGUUUUUCUCACAGAACUGUGUGUUAGAUCUUUGGGAAACUACACGACAGGU